CCAUGCCGCGUGCAGGAUGAAGGCGCUCAGCGUUGUAAACUGCUUUUGCCCGGGAAAAAUGUGCGGGGUGCGCAGCACAGUGACGGUAUAGGGUGAAUACGCACCGGCUAACUCCGUGCCAGCAGCCGCGGUAAUACGGAGGGUGCAAGCGUUGUCCGGAUUUAUUGGGUUUAAAGGGUGCGUAGGCGGGCUGGUAAGUCUGGUUUGAAAGCGGGUGGCUUAACCAUCCGAUGUGGCUGGAUACUGUUAGUCUUGAAAUUGUUGGAGGCAGCCGGAACGGGUCGUGUAGCGGUGAAAUGCAUAGAGAUGACCCAGAACACCAAUUGCGUAGGCAGGCUGCUGUGACUGAUUUGACGCUGAGGCACGAGGGCAUGGGGAGCAAACAGGAUUAGAUACCCUGGUAGUCCAUGCCGUAAACGAUGAUUACUGGCUGUUUGCGACAUGGUUCUGAUGGCUAAGGGAAACCGGUAAGUAAUCCACCUGGGGAGUACGCCGGCAACGGUGAAACUCAAAGGAAUUGACGGAGGAAACUCAAAGGAAUUGACGGAAACUCAAAGGAAUUGACGG
rnacentral:rRNA from 1 species